GAUGAACGCUGGCGGCGUGCCUAAUACAUGCAAGUCGAGCGAACAGACGAGGAGCUUGCUCCUCUGACGUUAGCGGCGGACGGGUGAGUAACACGUGGAUAACCUACCUAUAAGACUGGGAUAACUUCGGGAAACCGGAGCUAAUACCGGAUAAUAUAUUGAACCGCAUGGUUCAAUAGUGAAAGACGGUUUUGCUGUCACUUAUAGAUGGAUCCGCGCCGCAUUAGCUAGUUGGUAAGGUAACGGCUUACCAAGGCAACGAUGCGUAGCCGACCUGACAGAGUGAUAGGCCACACUGGAACGGAGACACGGUCCAGGCGCCUACGGGAGGCAGCAGUAGGGAAUCUUCCGCAAUAGGCGAAAGCCUGGCAGAGCAACGCCGCGUAAGAGAUGAAGGUCUUCGGAUCGUAAAACUCUGUUAUUAGGGAAGAACAAAUGUGGAAGUAACUAUACACUUAUUGACGGUACCUAAUCAGGAAGCCACGGCUAACUACGUG
rnacentral:rRNA from 1 species